rnacentral:rRNA from 1 species
GUUAAGCGACUAAGCGUACACGGUGGAUGCCCUGGCAGUCAGAGGCGAUGAAGGACGUGCUAAUCUGCGAUAAGCGUCGGUAAGGUGAUAUGAACCGUUAUAACCGGCGAUUUCCGAAUGGGGAAACCCAGUGUGUUUCGACACACUAUCAUUAACUGAAUCCAUAGGUUAAUGAGGCGAACCGGGGGAACUGAAACAUCUAAGUACCCCGAGGAAAAGAAAUCAACCGAGAUUCCCCCAGUAGCGGCGAGCGAACGGGGAGCAGCCCAGAGCCUGAAUCAGUGUGUGUGUUAGUGGAAGCGUCUGGAAAGGCGCGCGAUACAGGGUGACAGCCCCGUACACAAAAAUGCACAUGCUGUGAGCUCGAUGAGUAGGGCGGGACACGUGGUAUCCUGUCUGAAUAUGGGGGGACCAUCCUCCAAGGCUAAAUACUCCUGACUGACCGAUAGUGAACCAGUACCGUGAGGGAAAGGCGAAAAGAACCCCGGCGAGGGGAGUGAAAAAGAACCUGAAACCGUGUACGUACAAGCAGUGGGAGCACGCUUAGGCGUGUGACUGCGUACCUUUUGUAUAAUGGGUCAGCGACUUAUAUUCUGUAGCAAGGUUAACCGAAUAGGGGAGCCGAAGGGAAACCGAGUCUUAACUGGGCGUUAAGUUGCAGGGUAUAGACCCGAAACCCGGUGAUCUAGCCAUGGGCAGGUUGAAGGUUGGGUAACACUAACUGGAGGACCGAACCGACUAAUGUUGAAAAAUUAGCGGAUGACUUGUGGCUGGGGGUGAAAGGCCAAUCAAACCGGGAGAUAGCUGGUUCUCCCCGAAAGCUAUUUAGGUAGCGCCUCGUGAAUUCAUCUCCGGGGGUAGAGCACUGUUUCGGCAAGGGGGUCAUCCCGACUUACCAACCCGAUGCAAACUGCGAAUACCGGAGAAUGUUAUCACGGGAGACACACGGCGGGUGCUAACGUCCGUCGUGAAGAGGGAAACAACCCAGACCGCCAGCUAAGGUCCCAAAGUCAUGGUUAAGUGGGAAACGAUGUGGGAAGGCCCAGACAGCCAGGAUGUUGGCUUAGAAGCAGCCAUCAUUUAAAGAAAGCGUAAUAGCUCACUGGUCGAGUCGGCCUGCGCGGAAGAUGUAACGGGGCUAAACCAUGCACCGAAGCUGCGGCAGCGACGCUUAUGCGUUGUUGGGUAGGGGAGCGUUCUGUAAGCCUGCGAAGGUGUGCUGUGAGGCAUGCUGGAGGUAUCAGAAGUGCGAAUGCUGACAUAAGUAACGAUAAAGCGGGUGAAAAGCCCGCUCGCCGGAAGACCAAGGGUUCCUGUCCAACGUUAAUCGGGGCAGGGUGAGUCGACCCCUAAGGCGAGGCCGAAAGGCGUAGUCGAUGGGAAACAGGUUAAUAUUCCUGUACUUGGUGUUACUGCGAAGGGGGGACGGAGAAGGCUAUGUUGGCCGGGCGACGGUUGUCCCGGUUUAAGCGUGUAGGCUGGUUUUCCAGGCAAAUCCGGAAAAUCAAGGCUGAGGCGUGAUGACGAGGUACUACGGUGCUGAAGCAACAAAUGCCCUGCUUCCAGGAAAAGCCUCUAAGCAUCAGGUAACAUCAAAUCGUACCCCAAACCGACACAGGUGGUCAGGUAGAGAAUACCAAGGCGCUUGAGAGAACUCGGGUGAAGGAACUAGGCAAAAUGGUGCCGUAACUUCGGGAGAAGGCACGCUGAUAUGUAGGUGAAGUCCCUUGCGGAUGGAGCUGAAAUCAGUCGAAGAUACCAGCUGGCUGCAACUGUUUAUUAAAAACACAGCACUGUGCAAACACGAAAGUGGACGUAUACGGUGUGACGCCUGCCCGGUGCCGGAAGGUUAAUUGAUGGGGUUAGCGGUAA